AAGACUGUACUUUCAGGGAUCAUUUCUAUAGUGCUUAAUUGGCAAAAUGUGUUUCUAAAGUAAUUGGUCUUGCCAACUACGAUGAUGAGGCACGAUACUUCUUCUUGAGUAUUCCUGGAAUAAUGAAUUCAUUCAUAAGUUCUAUGACAUUGAUGAACGUUCGCUGCUUCUUUUGGAGCAUUGAGGGAUGGAGUAUGUUCAGAGUAGU